rnacentral:rRNA from 1 species
UACGUAGGGUGCGAGCGUUGUCCGGAAUUACUGGGCGUAAAGAGCUCGUAGGUGGUUUGUCGCGUUGUCCGUGAAAACUCACAACUCAAUUGUGGGCGUGCGGGCGAUACGGGCAGACUGGAGUACUGCAGGGGAGACUGGAAUUCCUGGUGUAGCGGUGGAAUGCGCAGAUAUCAGGAGGAACACCGGUGGCGAAGGCGGGUCUCUGGGCAGUGACUGACGCUGAGGAGCGAAAGCAUGGGGAGCGAACAGG